UGGCCUCCCCCGCUCCCUUCCCUUUCCUGAUUUCCCGGGCGAAUUUCCCCCUGCAUUCUGCCUUUCCCAGAGCUUCAACUCUUCUUUUUCUAACCUUUGUCUCCGAUGAGGUGUAUUAUGCUCGCUAUGAUGUUUGGGUACCGAUCCAUUCGAAUCCAAGACUCUUAAAAACAACACACACGCUCCCAGCCCUCGCCCGCAACCUUGUCAGCUUCCAGUCCCCUACCUGCCGCUCUCCGUUUGCUUUCCUGCUUGGGGAGCGAUUUCGGAUUGCUACCCAAUUCGACUCGUAAUGGAUUACAGGGAUACGGCUCGGCCCCUCGUCCUUCUGCUGCCCAGACGACAAACGGGUUCGGGACAAUGGAAGGACGUCUGCAUGGAAGACGUGGCGCGAAGAGAAGGCUUAUUUCACUAGAAAGAAGAGAGAAAGAGAGAGAGAAAGCUUAGUUUAUGGCACAAUGUUCUGCUAAAUGUCUUUUAGUUUAACAUUUUGGAAUACCAGGCAACAAGGAGAACUGUUUUCCUCAACGAAGCAAGAAAACCAACUUAUUGUCGUAUGCAUGUUCUAAACGUGAUUCAGUUCAGCCGACCUUCUCGCUUGCCGUUUUUUCAAACGCUUUAGCCACCAACCUAUCUUGCUAAUUUUAUUUUAAAUCCCAGACUGAAAUAUUGAUUUCCUUGUUUAAAAUCUCA